AUUAUUAGUUUAUUUUUCUUAUUUUUCUCUCUAUUUUCUGUUUCUAUUUUUGUUAUUUUGUUAUUUUAUUUAUUUACUUAUUUUUAUUAUUUUUAUUUUUUCUUUUUCUUUUUCUCUCCAACGUUAUUCUUCCCCCUCCUCAACCCUCUCCUUUUCUUCAACCUUCUUCCUCUGUUCACUAUCUUCCUUUGAAUCUCCUUAAAAAUCUCAACUUCAAGUAUGGCUUCUGCUAUAAAUUGUGAACUUAUAGAGUGGUAAAAGGGACGAAAAAAAAAAGAUUGAAGACACAAAGAGAAGGAAAGAAACAAAUUGAGAGACUGAGUGAGAGUAGAGUGAAAAGUAUAGAAGAUCAGAGAAAAAUAAAAGAAGUGUUCUGACGAGCUCCCCACCCUCCGGUGGCUGGCACGAUACCCACAGACUCACAACUCCGAACUUCCGACGCAACUCCCUCUGAGCAGAUCUGCGAUAAUCGCAAAGUGUGUAGUCUGGUAACAACUUUAGGCGAACGACUGAAAUUCACCUGCAAAUAAGAAUAAAGAAGAGGAUGAGACUGAAGAAGAAGAGGAAAAAGAAAGGAAAAAUGUGGAGAAGAAGGGAAAGUUGUUCUUAAAGAAGUUCAACAAAGCAAUCAACAUUAGCCACCUUCCCAUUUGCCCAUGCCUGAUCUACUGUUCAAUCUCUUUCGAAUCUUCAAAUCUUCAGCGAGCUUUCAACUUUAAGACCAAUCUAUCGACCCUACUUCGAAUUUUCAAGCCGUUCAACGUCAGUGUCAGUGUUAGCGAGCGUUGAAGUCGUUUUUCAAGCCCGAUCUGUUGUUGUUCUUCUUCGAAUCUUCAGCAAUAGCAAUCAGCGUCAAUGAGCCAUUCAUGCCUGAUCUGUCGUCCGUUCAAGUUUGUCCAUUCAAGUUGUUCAUGUCCGUUCAAGCAGGGUUUGAGGAAUACUCACAACUGAUGAUGGAAUGAUGUCGAGAAAGGAGAAAAAUUUAAAUGUAAGGUCAUCAGUGAAGAAAGAAAGACGAGCAAUUUAUGAUUGUGGCAAUUGUAUUUGUAAUUAUAUAAGACAUUUGACUUCAAUUGACUUCCAACUUUUAUUCGGACUUUAUUUAAUAUAAGUCGUAAACUUAAUUAGUGGAUU